AAUCAUGUUCGGGUAAUCGCUGCGAUGCGUAUGCAUCGUAGAGGAAAGUCCAUGCUCGCACGGUGCUGAGAUGCCCGUAGUGUUCGUGCCUAGCGAAUCCAUAAGCUAGGGCAGUCUGGCAAUAAGCUGGGCUGACGGCAGGGAAAGAGCCUACGUCCGCAACGGAUAUGGCUCGAUUACCUUUAAAGUGCCACAGUGACGUAGUCUUGCUGGAAACGGCAAGAGUGGAACGCGGUAAACCCCACGAGUGAGAAACCCAAAUAAUGGUAGGGGCACCUUCUCGAAGGAAAUGAACGGAGAGAAGGACAGGCAUAAGCCUGUAGAUAGAUGAUUACCGCCGAAGUACGAGGCGCAAGCCGUUUGCAGUACGACGGAACAGAACAUGGCUUACAGAACAUGGUUCAUG
rnacentral:RNase_P_RNA from 1 species